rnacentral:rRNA from 1 species
CUGCAGCCCGAGUAGUGAUCGUUAUUAUUGGGCCUGAAACGUCCGUAGCCUGUUUGGUAAAUGCUUGGGUAAAUCGUGUGGCUUAACCAUACGAAUACCGGGUAGACUGCCAGACUUGAGACCGGGAGAGGUUGGAGGUACUCCUGGGGUAGAGGUGAAAUUCUGUAAUCCUGGGGGGACCACCAGUGGCGAAGGCGUCCAACCAGAACGGGUCUGACGGUGAGGGACGAAGCCCUGGGGCGCAAACCGGAUUAGAUACCCGAGUAGUCC